rnacentral:lncRNA from 1 species
UCCAUGGCCCCCACAGACCCCCAUGGUUCCCAUGAUACCCCAUGGUCCCAACAGAUCCCGUAGACCCCAGUAGACCCACAUGGCCCCAGUAGACCCACAUGGCCCUGUAGACACCCAUGGUCCAGCAGGACCCCGUGGCUCCCAUUGUCCUCCAUGGCUCCAAAAGACCAUCAUGGCCCCAUCAGGAUCUGCGUGGUACAAGUGGGAUCCCAUGGCACACAUGGGACCUCCAGGGCCCAAGGGGCAAGAACCCCUUUGGCCCCAGCAGGAGUCUCAUGGCUCCAGCAGGACCUCCAUAGUCCCAGCAGGCUCCCAUGGACCCCAUGGCCCCAGCAGACCCCAUAGGCCCCAAGGAACCACCAUGCAUGCUGCCACGGGACCCCCUCAGCAUGCAACUGGUGGACCACAUGGUCCACAGGAGAUCCACCUCUCCGGUGGGUACCCAGGCCCCAUGGGACACAGUUCCUGCAGCAGGCAGCCCCAGGCACCCCUGCACCUCCAAGACAGCUGCUACCAGCAGCCGCCCAGAAUGUCCCCAUCCACUGUCAGCACCACCCAAGGCAUGGCUCCCCCAGCCAGAGUUGGGGCUGUGCUGUGGGACCAGACAGUGCUCAGGUUGGGAAGUGCAUCCCUGCUGGGGGCUGGGCAGCGUCCCGGCACUGCAUCCCUGCUGGGGGCUGGGCAGCAUCCCAGCACUGCAUCCCUGCUUGAGGUUGGGCAGCAUCCCAGCACUGCAUCCCUGCUUGAGGCUGGGCAGCGUCCCGGCACUGUAUCCCUGCUUGAGGUUGGGCAGCAUCCCAGCACUGCAUCCCUGCUUGAGGCUCGGCAGCAUCCCGGGGACACCAGGCAGGGCAGCUGGUGCCACAGCCCCUGCACAGGGGAUGCUCGGGGGGUUCUAGCAAGGAGGAUGCCGCCCCUGGGGACGACCCCAGAGCCUGGCAGACAAGGCUCAGCCCCAGGGCUGCUGUCACCCUGCCCCAAGCCAGGGCUGCAAGCCCAGCGCUGCGGCUGGUUUGUUGUACUCGGUGUCAUAGUAACUGGCUCAGGAGGGAGGAAGGACAGCUCUCCUGCCGGGCUGCAAACCUCCCCAAACCCUGGCAGACCCGGUAAGACACCAUCCUCAGCCCAGCCCAUCUGGGGCCUUUUUUUUCCAGGUGCUGAGAGCUGCAUCCUGGGGGUGCUGGGGCCUUCGUCCCCGGGGUGCCAGGGUCUUCAUCCAUGGGGUGCUCGGGGCUACAUCGCUGGAUUGCUGGAGGUUUCACCCUUCAGGUGCUGGGGGCUGCGUCCCCCGGGUGUUGGGGCUUCGUCUGUGGGGUUUCAGGGGCUGAAUCCAUUGGAUUCCAGAGGCUGCAGCCCUUGGGUGUGGGGGGCUCUUAAUCCAGGAGAUGCUGGGGGCGGUAUCCCCAGGGUGCUGGGGGAUUCAUCCUUGGGAUGCUGAGGGCUGCAUCCCUGGGAUUCUAGAGGUUUCCCUGUGAGAUCCGGGUCAUCCCCGGGGUGCUGGGGCCUUCCUCCCCGGGGUGCCAGGGCCUUCAUCCCCGGGGUGCUGGGGGCUUCCUUGCCAGGGUGCCAGGGCCUUCAUCCCUGGGGUGCUGGGGGCUUCCUCCCCGGGGUGCUGGGGCUUUCAUCCUCGGGGUGGUGGGGGCUUCAUCCCUGGGGUGCUGGGGGCUUUGUCCCCGGGGGCUCCGCU